rnacentral:rRNA from 1 species
UACGAAGGGGGCUAGCGUUAUUCGGAAUUACUGGGCGUAAAGAGCAUGUAGGCGGUUUAGUAAGUUAAAAGUGAAAGCCCUGGGCUUAACCCAGGAAAUGCUUUUAAAACUCCUAAACUUGAGAUUGAUAGGGGACAGCGGAAUUCCUAGUGUAGAGGUGAAAUUCUUAGAUAUUAGGAGGAACACCGGAGGCGAAAGCGGCUGUCUAGGUUAAUACUGACGCUAAAGUGCGAAAGCGUGGGGAGCAAACAGG